UAGGAAUCUGCCUAUUAGUGGGGGACAACAUCUCGAAAGGGAUGCUAAUACCGCAUACGUCCUACGGGAGAAAGCAGGGGAUCACUUGUGACCUUGCGCUAAUAGAUGAGCCUAAGUCGGAUUAGCUAGUUGGUGGGGUAAAGGCCUACCAAGGCGACGAUCUGUAGCGGGUCUGAGAGGAUGAUCCGCCACACUGGGACUGAGACACGGCCCAGACUCCUACGGGAGGCAGCAGUGGGGAAUAUUGGACAAUGGGGGGAACCCUGAUCCAGCCAUGCCGCGUGUGUGAAGAAGGCCUUAUGGUUGUAAAGCACUUUAAGCGAGGAGGAGGCUCUUUUGGUUAAUACCCAAGAUGAGUGGACGUUACUCGCAGAAUAAGCACCGGCUAACUCUGUGCCAGCAGCCGCGGUAAUACAGAGGGUGCAAGCGUUAAUCGGAUUUACUGGGCGUAAAGCGCGCGUAGGCGGCCAAUUAAGUCAAAUGUGAAAUCCCCGAGCUUAACUUGGGAAUUGCAUUCGAUACUGGUUGGCUAGAGUGUGGGAGAGGAUGGUAGAAUUCCAGGUGUAGCGGUGAAAUGCGUAGAGAUCUGGAGGAAUACCGAUGGCGAAGGCAGCCAUCUGGCCUAACACUGACGCUGAGGUGCGAAAGCAUGGGGAGCAAACAGGAUUAGAUACCCUGGUAGUCCAUGCCGUAAACGAUGUCUACUAGCCGUUGGGGCCUUUG
rnacentral:rRNA from 1 species